GUCAUAUGCUUGUCUCAAAGAUUAAGCCAUGCAUGUCUCAGUACAAGCCAAAUUAAGGUGAAACCGCGAAAGGCUCAUUAAAUCAGUUAUGGUUCCUUAGGUCGUACCCACAAUUACUUGGAUAACUGUGGUAAUUCUAGAGCUAAUACAUGCAAACAGAGCUCCGACCGGAGACGGAAGGAGUGCUUUUAUUAGAUCAAAACCAAUCGGUGGCGAGUUCGCUCGUCAUCGUACAACUUGGUGACUCUGAAUAACUUUUGGCUGAUCGCACGGUCAUCGCACCGGCGACGCAUCUUUCAAAUGUCUGCCUUAUCAACUGUCGAUGGUAGGUUCUGCGCCUACCAUGGUUGUAACGGGUAACGGGGAAUCAGGGUUCGAUUCCGGAGAGGGAGCCUGAGAAACGGCUACCACAUCCAAGGAAGGCAGCAGGCGCGCAAAUUACCCACUCCCGGCACGGGGAGGUAGUGACGAAAAAUAACGAUACGGGACUCAUCCGAGGCCCCGUAAUCGGAAUGAGUACACUCUAAACCCUUUAACGAGGAUCAAUUGGAGGGCAAGUCUGGUGCCAGCAGCCGCGG
rnacentral:rRNA from 1 species